UACGUAGGCAGCAAGCGUUGUUCGGAAUUACUGGGCGUAAAGAGUGUGUAGGCGGCCAUUUAAGUCAGAGGUGAAAGACGGUAGCUCAACUAUCGCAGUGCCUUUGAUACUGAGUGGCUUGAAUGAACUAGAGGUAGGCGGAAUGAGACAAGUAGCGGUGAAAUGCAUAGAUAUGUCUCAGAACACCGAUUGCGAAGGCAGCUUACUAUGGUUUAAUUGACGCUGAGGCACGAAAGCGUGGGGAUCAAACAGG
rnacentral:rRNA from 1 species